rnacentral:tRNA from 1 species
GCGGCCUAGGUCCACCGUUGCCCUCCGAAGGCAGAGGUCACAAGUUCGAAUCUUGUCGGGUGCGCCA